AUUGAACGCUGGCGGAAUGCUUUACACAUGCAAGUCGAACGGUAGAGGGGGCAACCCCUCGAGAGUGGCGAACGGGUGAGUAAUAUAUCGGAACGUGCUCAGUCGUGGGGGAUAACGUAGCGAAAGUUACGCUAAUACCGCAUACGAUCUAAGGAUGAAAGCGGGGGAUCGCAAGACCUCGCGCGAUUGGAGCGGCCGAUAUCGGAUUAGGUAGUUGGUGGGGUAAAGGCUCACCAAGCCAACGAUCUGUAGCUGGUCUGAGAGGACGACCAGCAACACUGGAAAUGAGACACGGUCCAGACUCCUACGGGAGGCAGCAGUGGGGAAUUUUGGACAAUGGACGCAAGUCUGAUCCAGCCAUUCCGCGUGCAGGAUGAAGGCCCUCGGGUUGUAAACUGCUUUUGUACGGAACGAAAAGGUCUCUCUUAAUACGGGGGGCUCAUGACGGUACCGUAAGAAUAAGCACCGGCUAACUACGUGCCAGCAGCCGCCGUAA
rnacentral:rRNA from 1 species